CACUUGGAAACAGGUGCUAAUACCGUAUAACAAUCGAAACCGCAUGGUUUUGAUUUGAAAGGCGCUUUCGGGUGUCGCUGAUGGAUGGACCCGCGGUGCAUUAGCUAGUUGGUGAGGUAACGGCUCACCAAGGCGACGAUGCAUAGCCGACCUGAGAGGGUGAUCGGCCACAUUGGGACUGAGACACGGCCCAAACUCCUACGGGAGGCAGCAGUAGGGAAUCUUCGGCAAUGGACGAAAGUCUGACCGAGCAACGCCGCGUGAGUGAAGAAGGUUUUCGGAUCGUAAAACUCUGUUGUUAGAGAAGAACAAGGAUGAGAGUAACUGUUCAUCCCUUGACGGUAUCUAACCAGAAAGCCACGGCUAACUACGUGCCAGCAGCCGCGGUAAUACGUAGGUGGCAAGCGUUGUCCGGAUUUAUUGGGCGUAAAGCGAGCGCAGGCGGUUUCUUAAGUCUGAUGUGAAAGCCCCCCGGCUCAACCGGGGAGGGUCAUUGGAAACUGGGAGACUUGAGUGCAGAAGAGGAGAGUGGAAUUCCAUGUGUAGCGGUGAAAUGCGUAGAUAUAUGGAGGAACACCAGUGGCGAAGGCGGCUCUCUGGUCUGUAACUGACGCUGAGGCUCGAAAGCGUGGGGAGCAAACAGGAUUAGAUACCCUGGUAGUCCACGCCGUAAACGAUGAGUGCUAAGUGUUGGAGGGUUUCCGCCCUUCAGUGCUGCAGCUAACGCAUUAAGCACUCCGCCUGGGGAGUACGACCGCAAGGUUGAAACUCAAAGGAAUUGACGGGGGCCCGCACAAGCGGUGGAGCAUGUGGUUUAAUUCGAAGCAACGCGAAGAACCUUACCAGGUCUUGACAUCCUUUGACCACUCUAGAGAUAGAGCUUCCCCUUCGGGGGCAAAGUGACAGGUGGUGCAUGGUUGUCGUCAGCUCGUGUCGUGAGAUGUUGGGUUAAGUCCCGCAACGAGCGCAACCCUUAUUGUUAGUUGCCAUCAUUUAGUUGGGCACUCUAGCAAGACUGCCGGUGACAAACCGGAGGAAGGUGGGGAUGACGUCAAAUCAUCAUGCCCCUUAUGACCUGGGCUACACACGUGCUACAAUGGGAAGUACAACGAGUCGCAAAGUCGCGAGGCUAAGCUAAUCUCUUAAAGCUUCUCUCAGUUCGGAUUGUAGGCUGCAACUCGCCUACAUGAAGCCGGAAUCGCUAGUAAUCGCGGAUCAGCACGCCGCGGUGAAUACGUUCCCGGGCCUU
rnacentral:rRNA from 1 species